rnacentral:rRNA from 1 species
UUUAUAUAAAGCAUAGAGUGGAUGCCUUGACACUUAUGUAAGGGACGUUUCAUAUACGAAAAGCCGUUAGGUAUUUACUAACGGAUUUCCCAAGGGAAACCCAAAAGAAAGAAAAUCUGUGAGUGUCAACUUUGAAUAGCAGAUGUAAAAAACCAACAGGGAGUGCGAAAGUAGCGGGGAGCGAAAUUGUACAAUGUUUGUCUUUGUUUUAUAAAGCCUAGGUGCUUUCUGAGUUGCUGGAUUCGAAAUAGAUUUUUUGGAAAAAAAUGCCAAAGAAGGUGAUAGCCCUGUAGAAAUACCAGCAAGAAUGUGCAAAAUAGUUUAUCUAUUAUUGUAUAUAUACGAUAAAACCUUUUAUUGUAUAAAGAUAAGUUCACGCUAUUUGAUGUGUGAAUUCAUACUUUUUGUUUAAAGUGGUACCACCCACUAGACUCAAAACAUAAGUGAUCGAUAGUGAACAAGUACCGUGAGGGAAAGGUGAAAAGAGCAACUUUUGUUGUAGUGAAAUAGAUCUGAAACCCUAUGCUAUCAAACAGUUGAAUGCUUCUUUUCAGAAGUUUCAGCGUGCCUUUUGCAACAUGAGCGAGCAAGUCUUUAAAUGUAGCAGCUUAAGCCGGUAGGUGUAGGCA